CACCCCGCGGGCUAUGGGUGCUGUGCCCCCCGCACCGCCAUCACGAGGAGCCGACCGAAUCAGAUCCCAGCGCGGCUCUCCGCCUUGUUUUUGGCUGGGCGGCUUGCCGUGGCGACCUGAUGAUGACGGGAAGGGGGUGCCUGGCGUUGCGAGAGCGCAUGGCUGGGGACCUGAUGGCCUUUAAGGGUCCCUUCCAACUCAAACCGUUCUGUGAUCCUAUGAAGAAGCGACUCGGGAGAAGCCGGAGGAGGAGAUGGAACAUCCCUCUGAAGGAAAAGAUGUGGCUGCUGUGCUGGGUGCCGUGUGCCAGAGCCCCACUGAUUCCUGGAAAAACCUGUACCUGUAGGCACUGGUGAUAAAAUGGCUUGGAGGGCUCUUCCGUGGAUGACUGGGGACAACUGGGACAGGUGCAUUUUGUAGAGUCAUAGACUCAUGGAAUCAUUAAGGCCGGAAAAUACCUCCAAUAUCCCCAUGCUCAACCCCAACCCACCCCACCAUACCACUGACCACGUCCCCAUGUGCCACAUCUCCACAGUUCUUGAACACCUCCAAAGAUGGGGUCUCCACCACCUCCCUAAGCAGCCCCUGCCGCCGCAUCACUGCUCUUUUGGAUAAUAAUUUUUUCCUGAGAACCAUUUCAGAGGUCAAGGUGUUCAUUUUCCCCGCCAGCUUUGUUCACUGGCACUUUUUUUCACA
ensembl:lncRNA